AAAACACUAUAAAGGGACAAAGUGAUGUCAUAGUGAUGUCACAUCAUGUGCUUCCCCAUUAAAACUUUCACAGUUUCCUUCUGCAUUUAUGUCAUAUAGUCUAGUGAAGCCAAAGAACUAACAUGAUUAUACUAAUAAUCAUCAAACUGAUAAUUCUGCAGCAUUUUUCAGAAUCCAGUGAUGUUACACAGACACCAGUAUUAUGGGUUUCACAGGGUGAAUCUGCACAAAUGAACUGCAGUCAUACUAUGGGUGCAGGCUAUAACUACAUGUAUUGGUUUCAACAACGAAAGGGAGAAACAAUGAGACUCAUUGCUUUCACAAUGCUAGGCAGCAAGCCAGACUUUGGUGAAUUUUCUGUUGAUAAAUACUCAGCUGAAAAGACUGUAGCUGAUAAAGGGUCUUUCACAGUGAAGAAGCUGCAGCCCGAUGACAGUGGUGUGUAUUUCUGUGCAGUGAGUAAACACAGUGACACAGACCUACUGUGCUGCUGUACAAAAACCUAAAAUGUUCAUGCUCCCUAAACACAGAACAGGUGCUAUGACAGAUGUUAAUAAUGACAAUGAAAUUUUGCAGUUUGUUUGCAGCGCCGCCAUAUAAUGAUUGUGACCACCAGCUUCCAAAUUAUAUAAUAAAUAAAUAAAUAAAUACCCAAAUUAAAUAAAUAAAUAAUAUCAGUUCAUUAAUAUUAUGACAAAAUUACCUGGUUGUUACUCCUCCUGCAAGAGUUGAUGGAGGUUGCAUGAUGAAAACAGUUUUAAACAAAGCCAUAGCAAAAGCUGUUGCAACACUGAACAACACAAUGGUUGAGCCACAAUAGAACAUGAAUCCAGCAGAUGGUGCUAAAGGCUAACAUUUACAGUAUAUUACAGGAGAAGUAGCUCACAUUACUCGUUUUUUUGUGCCUCGUAAAUUCUCUUUCAGUACAAACAUUUUAUUUUAUUUUAUUUUAUUAACUUCUCUCCCUGUUUAAACCAUUAACAAAAUGAAC
rnacentral:lncRNA from 1 species